GGGAAUGUGGCUUAGUGGUAGAGUGCUUGCCUAGCAUGCAUGAAACUCUGGGCUCGAUUCCUCAAUACCA
rfam:Dipodomys ordii contig_57737, whole genome shotgun sequence.